GGGGAUGUAGUUCAAUGGUAGAACUUCAGCUUCCCAAGCUGACAGCGCGGGUUCGAUUCCCGUCAUCCCCUCCG
rnacentral:tRNA from 1 species